GACGAACGCUGGCGGCGUGCUUAACACAUGCAAGUCGAACGGAAAGGCCCUGCUUUUGUGGGGUGCUCGAGUGGCGAACGGGUGAGUAACACGUGAGUAACCUGCCCUUGACUUUGGGAUAACUUCAGGAAACUGGGGCUAAUACCGGAUAGGAGCUCCUGCUGCAUGGUGGGGGUUGGAAAGUUUCGGCGGUUGGGGAUGGACUCGCGGCUUAUCAGCUUGUUGGUGGGGUAGUGGCUUACCAAGGCUUUGACGGGUAGCCGGCCUGAGAGGGUGACCGGCCACAUGGGGACUGAGAUACGGCCCAGACUCCUACGGGAGGCAGCAGUGGGGAAUAUUGCACAAUGGGCGGAAGCCUGAUGCAGCAACGCCGCGUGCGGGAUGACGGCCUUCGGGUUGUAAACCGCUUUCGCCUGUGACGAAGCGUAAGUGACGGUAAUGGGUAAAGAAGCACCGGCUAACUACGUG
rnacentral:rRNA from 1 species